rnacentral:lncRNA from 1 species
AUUGGUGAGUUCUUGAUUUAGAACCAUGAUCCAACUUCUAAGAAAGUGCCUCUAUAUUUUCCAGCUCAAGGUGAUUCCUCAAAGUGUCAAGAAUCUUGUUCUAUGUGGCUAUUGGAAUCACAUCAUGUGGUAUCAUGAGUCUUAGGUUCAUUCUUGUUUAAUUGUUGAGUUGUGUGCACUUUAUUUCAAGAGCUCUUUU